rnacentral:rRNA from 1 species
AUACGUAGGGUGCGAGCGUUGUCCGGAAUUACUGGGCGUAAAGAGCUCGUAGGUGGUUUGUCGCAUCGUCUGUGAAAUUCCGGGGCUUAACUCCGGGCGUGCAGGCGAUACGGGCAUAACUUGAGUACUGUAGGGGAGACUGGAAUUCCUGGUGUAGCGGUGAAAUGGGCAGAUAUCAGGAGGAACACCGGUGGCGAAGGCGGGUCUCUGGGCAGUAACUGACGCUGAGGAGCGAAAGCAUGGGUAGCGAACAGGAUUAGAUACCCUGGUAGUCCAUGCCGUAAACGGUGGGCGCUAGGUGUAGGGGUCUUCCACGACUUCUGUGCCGUAGCUAACGCAUUAAGCGCCCCGCCUGGGGAGUACGGCCGCAAGGCUAAAACUCAAAGGAAUUGACGGGG